AAAAAUCUGUGAGUUUGAGAUAAAAUAAAUUAAAACUAUUUUCAUAUUCAUAUUCCUCAUGAAAUUCUGAUCAAUUUACUAUAUUCACAUAUCGCGUUUAGUUCAAAAAUGAAAAAGUUGCAUUUAAAAAAAAAACUAAAACUUACACUAACAACACAAGGAAGAAGAUGAUGUUCAGCGCCAUUUUUUUUAUUUUUAAAAUUUUUUAUAUAUAUUUUAUGCAAUGAGUUAAUUACAUAAUUGGUAGGUCAACCUUGGUGUAGUGGUUGUGUGUUUGUUUGGUUAUCUUGGGGUCCUAAGUUCAAAAACCUUAGACCCCAUUUUUUCAUUAUUUUUGCUAUUUCUUCCUUAUUUCCUUGUUUUUUUUUAUGUUUUUUAUUUAUUCCUUUUAUUUAUUUAUUUAUUCUUGCUUAAUUAUUAUAAAUAUUUCUAUUUUAUGUUUAAAAAAAAAAUU
rnacentral:lncRNA from 1 species